rnacentral:rRNA from 2 species
GGCCUAACACAUGCAAGUCGAACGGUAACAGGAAGCAGCUUGCUGCUUCGCUGACGAGUGGCGGACGGGUGAGUAAUGUCUGGGAAGCUGCCUGAUGGAGGGGGAUAACUACUGGAAACGGUAGCUAAUACCGCAUAAUGUCGCAAGACCAAAGAGGGGGACCUUCGGGCCUCUUGCCAUCGGAUGUGCCCAGAUGGGAUUAGCUUGUUGGUGGGGUAACGGCUCACCAAGGCGACGAUCCCUAGCUGGUCUGAGAGGAUGACCAGCCACACUGGAACUGUGACACGGUCCAGACUCCUACGGGAGGCAGCAGUGGGGAAUAUUGCACAAUGGGCGCAAGCCUGAUGCAGCCAUGCCGCGUGUAUGAAGAAGGCCUUCGGGUUGUAAAGUACUUUCAGCGGGGAGGAAGGGAGUAAAGUUAAUACCUUUGCUCAUUGACGUUACCCGCAGAAGAAGCACCGGCUAACUCCGUGCCAGCAGCCGCGGUAAUACGGAGGGUGCAAGCGUUAAUCGGAAUUACUGGGCGUAAAGCGCACGCAGGCGGUUUGUUAAGUCAGAUGUGAAAUCCCCGGGCUCAACCUGGGAACUGCAUCUGAUACUGGCAAGCUUGAGUCUCGUAGAGGGGGGUAGAAUUCCAGGUGUAGCGGUGAAAUGCGUAGAGAUCUGGAGGAAUACCGGUGGCGAAGGCGGCCCCCUGGACGAAGACUGACGCUCAGGUGC